AGUAGGGGGCGUGCAGGAGGCAGCCGGUCCACGAUUCUCUCUCUUCAUGGUUGUUUCUCUCUCCCUCUUCCUCUCUCUUCCUCUCUGAAAUCAAUAAAAAAAUGUAUUUAAAAAAUUUUAAAAAGCCAGUCUUCCUAACUCCGCGCCCGCCCGUUCCGGCCGUCUCAGCGCAGCACUCCGAGUACCAGCCGCUCGGACUGCGGCUCAGGACGGUCACUGCCCGCAGAGGCUGGUCUUGUAGGAAGGCCAGAGGGGUCUCGGUCCAUCCUUGUGGGUAGACGGGGCCACCCCACCCUGGGGUUCCAGGGGCAGAGAGCCCUGGGGGGCAGGGAGGCAUGCUGGGAGGGGAGACGCUGCCUGUGCUGAUUAGGGGCUGUGCCCUCUGG